AUAAGUAUAGCAUAUGUAGAAUGUGUCUCGUUUACAUCGAGAAGAGUGCUUGAAUUAUAAAGUUGCUUUUA
rnacentral:tRNA from 1 species